UGCGUAUAUGGUUUAGGGUUUAGGGUUUUAGGGGUUUAGUUAUCCUGGCUAGUUUUGUUAUUCUAUUUUUAACGAUUUUGAAUUUAUUUUCUUUAUUUUUUGUUUCAAUUUAAUCGUCAUGAUUUAAGGUCGCUGUUGUUCAUAUUUUGUUAUCCACAAUUACUGCUUCCUUUUAAUUCACAUGUGUGCAGAGAUCAUCAUGUUUGAAAAAAUUUUAUUCUUUUGAUUAAACUUUCCAUUCUUGCAAUUUUUUUUUGGGUAACAUUUUGUAGAACAAAACUAAAUAUUCGAGGUAUUUUCCUUUAUAAUUUUCUUUGUGUUUUUAAUUCAAU
rnacentral:lncRNA from 1 species